CCUACGGGUGGCAGCAGUGAGGAAUAUUGGUCAAUGGUCGGGAGACUGAACCAGCCAAGCCGCGUGAGGGAUGAAGGUACAGAGUAUCGUAAACCUCUUUUGUCAGGGAACAAAGGCGGGGACGUGUCCCCGGAUGAGUGUACCUGAAGAAAAAGCAUCGGCUAACUCCGUGCGAGCAGCCGCGGUAAUACGGAGGAUGCGAGCGUUUUCCGGAUUUAUUGGGUUUAUGGGGUGUGAGGGCGGUCUGUAAGGUGAGCGGUCAAAGCCCGGGGCUCAACCCCGUCCCGCCGUUGAAACUGGCAGUCUCGAGUUGGAGAGAAGUAUGCGGAAUGCGCGGUGUAGCGGUGAAAUGCAUAGAUAUCGCGCAGAACUCCGAUGGCGAAGGCAGCAUGCCGGCUCCACACUGACGCUGAGGCACGAAAGCGUGGGUAUCGAACAGGAUUAGAUACCCUAGUAGUC
rnacentral:rRNA from 1 species